AUGACAUUAGGAUGCAGGGUUGAUCACAAUUAACAAUGAUGGCAAUAUCUUUACCACUAAUAAUGAUUUUUAUGUCACGACCAACAUUAGGAUUAGACCAAACUGCUUAAUUUUAUGUGUAUAUUUUAUUAUCAAUAUUAGAGUCUGAAUUUGGUUCUAUAAAGUUUACAAUUUGCAGGAUGUUCACAUUAAUCACCUGUUGUACUUGAACACGUAUAGGUAAGUUUCAGUUAUGAAAUACAAUUUAGGUUUUAUGAAACUCUAUUUUUUUUUUUUUUUUUUUUUUUUUUUCCUGACUUGGUCUGUAUGUUGUAAUUAUUAUAGGGUGAAGGCUAAGUUUUCCCCAUAUUGCAAGGCUGAUUUGAC
rnacentral:lncRNA from 1 species